rnacentral:lncRNA from 1 species
AAUCAAAUUAUCCGUAACAUGAAAUCAAAUUCUCAAAAUAUUCCUAAUAAUUUUAUCUCGAUGCUUUUUUUUCUUGAUGAUAAGUAACAAGAGUGAUGUGGAUGUGAUGGUGGUACGAAGAAGUGACAAGCCAAAGGAUGUAGGGAAUCGUGGGCGUUGGAGAGGUGGAGAGGGAGUGGGCAUGUGUGGAGUCAUGGGAGUGGAGGA